rnacentral:rRNA from 1 species
UACGAAGGGUGCAAGCGUUACUCGGAAUUACUGGGCGUAAAGCGUGCGUAGGCGGUUUGUUAAGUCUGAUGUGAAAGCCCUGGGCUCAACCUGGGAACGGCAUUGGAAACUGGCUUACUAGAGUGCGGUAGAGGGGUGUGGAAUUCCCGGUGUAGCAGUGAAAUGCGUAGAUAUCGGGAGGAACAUCUGUGGCGAAGGCGACACCCUGGACCAGCACUGACACUGAGGCACGAAAGCGUGGGGAGCAAACAGG